GAUGAACGCUGGCGGCGUGCCUAAUACAUGCAAGUCGAGCGGACGGACGAGAAGCUUGCUUCUCUGAUGUUAGCGGCGGACGGGUGAGUAACACGUGGAUAACCUACCUAUAAGACUGGGAUAACUUCGGGAAACCGGAGCUAAUACCGGAUAAUAUUUUGAACCGCAUGGUUCAAAAGUGAAAGACGGUCUUGCUGUCACUUCUAGAUGGAUCCGCGCUGCAUUAGCUAGUUGGUAAGGUAACGGCUUACCAAGGCAACGAUGCAUAGCCGACCGGAGAGGGGGAUAGGCCACCCUGGAGCUGAGACACGGUCCAGACGCCUACGGGAGGCAGCAGUAGGGAAUCUGCCGCAAUGGGCGAAAGCCUGACGGAGCAACGCCGCGUGAGUGAUGAAGGUCCUCGGAUCGUAAAACUCUGUUAUUAGGGAAGAACAUAUGUGUAAGUAACUGUGCACAGCGUGACGGUACCUAAUCAGAAAGCAACGGCUAACUACGUG
rnacentral:rRNA from 1 species